rnacentral:lncRNA from 1 species
AAGGUCUGAUGCUUUGGCGAAUGCCAAAUUUAAAGGAAAACAAAAAUCAAAUUCUUCUACCCAAGGAACAAAAAUUAAAGAUUGUCAACUGGUAUCACUUUUCUCUCUGUUUUUACAAUGGAUUUAGAUGUUAUUGAAUUUAAAAAAAUUAAAGUUUCGUUUUAUGUAGAACGUUUGAUUUGUCAAUAUGUUUUUGGUUUGUCUCAUUUAAUAUUAUAUAUAUUUUUUAUCGUGUUCUUGCACAGAAGGAGAAAAAAAGGUCUGAUGCUUUGGCGAAUGCCAAAUUUAAGGGGAAACAGAAAUCAACAUUUUCUAGCCAAGGAACAACAAAUAUAGAUUGCCAAUUGGUAUCACUUUUAUUCCUAUUCUUUUCUCUCUGUUUUUACAAUGGUUUUGGAUGUUAUUAAAUUUAAAAAAUUUUAAGUUUUGUUUUAUGUAGAACGUUUGAUUUGUCAACAUGUUUUUGGUUUUUCUCAUUUAAUAUUACUUAUUUUUUUAUUUCGUGUAUACAAUUAAAUUACUGAGAAACUAUGAUUUUUUGUUUUUUUUUACCAAUUUUGUAGUUAAGAGAUUUAGUUUCUUUAUCUUAAUGUUGUUUUGUUACCAAUUUUAAUGUUACUAUAUGCAAUUGUGGCUAUAGUGUUACCAAUUAUAAUUAUAAAGUUGAUAAACGGUUGGGUAGAUAGUUCUGUUAAUGUAACACUUUAUUUUCAUUUUACAUCACGUUGCUAUAUAUACAAAGUGGAAAACGAUACGAUAUACGAUAAAUCAACAAAAUAAUAAUUAUUUUUUUAUGAGUUUGUGGUUUAGGCACAAAACUAUAACGUUAUAUCAAAAUCAACAUUGACGCAAUGUGCAAGGCUUGCUCCAAAAAUACGUUAUGCUGGGAAAGAAAAUGAGUGCUCCAAACGUCAACCGGGACAACUUGCAUGUCACAAAAGAGAGCGAUCAAAACAUUGUGACCCCGUUCAGCCUAGAUUUUUUCCUUCUUUACCACCGAGCCGUCGUCGCCGAGCAUGCCUAGAACGAGAAUCAAAUAAAAGGUCCCGCCUUCAACCAAUGACUUUGUCUACCAAAAUUUCACAUCCUGAAAUAGACAGUAUAGUGCCAACAAAUGUUUUAGAGUCAUCGUCAGCCACAAUUAUUUCACGGUGGUUGUCCGUGGCCAUCAUGAAUCAAGAAAAUCCUCCUCAAAAUCUUGAAGAAGGCACCCCAACAAAUAUCUUAAGGUUGUCACCUGUGACUACCAUGCUCCAAGACUUGCUUCCUCAAAACCUAUACAAAAGCACUACAACAGUCUUAGAACCAUUCUCCCCACGUUCCCCAGGGGCAUCGUAUAUGACAAACAUGUUCCAACAAAUGCGUAAUCCGGAUGAAGGCACCAGGUGUUUGAUUUAAGUUUUAAUUUUCUAUUCUCACACUUUCUGUCUUAUUCAUGUUAUCCUUUUAAAAAUUGUAUGACAUCUAUAAUUUUAUCUGUAGUGCCUACACAGUAGAAGGUGUUACUAUGGAUGUUGCAAUUAAUCCUCAAAACCAUGAAAUUCCAGAUCGUCAUUCCCUCGGCUUGAUGAAUCGAACAUGUCCUCAUUGUUCUGCCUUAUAUUGGCUUGCUAAAAAGUUAACAAAAUCAUCUGUAUCAAAUCCUCUCUUCGGUAAAUGUUGUUUACAAGGAAAAAUUAGACUGCCGCCACUUAUUGCACCUCCUUUAAUGCUUAAAGCAUUGUAUGACGGCAAUGAUGAACAAUCAAAAUCGUUUCGUCAGCACACACGAGAGUAUAAUGCAGCUAAUGCGUUUACAAGUCUUGGUGCUACUUUGGACUACAGAUUAAUUCCCGGGAGGGGGCCUAGAACAUUCACCAUCCAUGGAGAAUUACACCAUCGAACAGGAUCGCUUAUGCCACAGCCAGGGUGUGAACCAAUUUACUCUCAACUGUACAUUUAUGAUCCUAAUUCAGCUUUAGAUGUUCGCAGCAACAAAAAUCCUAACUUGAGAAGAGAUGUUUUGAAAACCAUACAAGAUUGUUUAUUGCAAGUAAAUCCAUUUCCUAUAAAAUUUCGGCAGGCUCACACAAUUUUAAGUGAAUUAGAAUUGACGGGGGUGAAUUUACCGGCCUAUCUUCACUAAAGUUCUGUAACAGACCGGCGUCGAUAUAAUUUCCCAACAAUCGAUGAGAUUGCGGUAAUAUUGCCGGGAGAUGGAACUGAAUCAAGUGGAAUGAGAGAUAUUAUGUUACAUUUAAGAGGGGAUAAUGGUUUGAUGCAAAUUAAUGAGUGUCAUCCGGCCUAUUUGCCAUUGCAUUAUGUGGUAUUGUUCCCUUAUGGUGAGCUAGGAUGGAAUCCAUAUUUGAAAUAGUGGAACGCUUCCCAAGGUGGACCUUCAUCUGCUCGAUUGACACAAUUGCAAUAUUACAGUUAUCAUAUGUUCCAACGUGACACUGAGUAUUCAACCAUUUUGAGAGCCGGAAAACUAUUUCAAGAAUUUGUAGUAGAUGCUUGGGCCGUUACUGAACAAAAUCGGUUGACAUACUACAAGUUGAAUCAAUCGAAGCUUCGUGCAGAACUUUACCAAGGUCUUACAGAUGUUUGUACAGAUGAGCUUGGUCCUGAACAAGUUGGUCAACGAAUGAUUUUGCCAUCUUCAUUCACUGGUAGUGCAAGAAAUAUGUUUGAAAUUUUUCAAGAUUCAAUGGCUAUCACGCGGUAUAAUCAACACCCAAAUAUUUUUCUACCUAUGACUGCGAAUCCCAAAUGGCCUGAAAUUACUAAAUCACUAUUGCCAAAUCAGAUCCCUACUGACCGUCCUGAUUUAGUGGCCAAUGUUUUUGAGUUGAAGCGAAAUUUUUUGAUGAAGGAGAUAGAAACAAACAACGUCUUUGGUAGAAAAGUGGCGCAUGUUUUUAUAAUCGAAUUUCAAAAAAGGGGGUUACCGCACAUGCAUGCACUUUUGUUCCUUUAUGGUUCAGAUAAAAUUCAAACAUGUGUUCAAGUGGAUAGAGUAGUGUGUGCUGAAUUUUCGGAUUGCCAAACUGACCCAUUGCUCUUUGAAACAAUUAUAGGUUGCAUGGUACACGGACCAUAUGGUGCUCGAAAUCCACAAGCACCAUGUAUGGAAAAUGGGGUAUGUACCAAGCGGUACCCUCGAUCAUUUGCUGAAUCAACAAGUAUGGACUCUGAUGGAUAUCCUGUUUAUCGUCGUCGUAAUACUGGUCAGAAGUACAUCGUGAGGGGGCAAGAAAUUGAUAAUAGAGACGUUGUGCCACAUAAUCCGUAUUUAUCAAGAAUGUUCAAUUUUCAUAUCAAUGUUGAAGUUUGUGCAGAGUCAGAUGUGUAAAAUACAUUCACAAGUAUAUUUAUAAAGGACAUGAUCGCGUAACAAUGGUAAUUGGAGGAAUUAAUGAGAUCCAACAAUAUCUUGAUGCUAGGUAUAUUGGACCUCCAGAAGCCACGUGGCGAUUGUUUGGUAAUCCUUUACAUGAAGAGAUUCCUUCAGUUGUAAGAUUGGCACUUCAUUUGCCUGGGAUGCAUCGUGUUGUCUUUAACCCUGCUGAAUCUUUUGAUAUGAUCCUUUCUAAAGGUGCACAUCAAAAAACAACUCUAACUGGCUUUUUUGAUUAUUGCGCUAUAAAUGAAUCAGCCCGUGUAUUAACUUAUCAGGAAUUUCCAAAAAAAUUUGUUUGGAACAAGUCUAUCGAUAAAUGGACUCCAAGACAAAGGGGUUAUGCAAUUGGUAGAAUGUACUUUGCUAGUACUAAUUCAGGUGAGCGGUUUUAUCUGCGUUUACUUCUAACUGUUGUUAGAGGACCUACUUCAUUUGACUGCCUACGCACGGUAAAUAAUGUUAUGCAUGAUACAUUCAAGUCAGCAUGUGUUGCAAGAGGACUUCUUGAAGAUGAUGAAGAAUGGAUACAAUGUCUUCACGAGGCUGCAAUUAUGAGAACGGGAUACCAAUUAAGGAGACUAUUUGUAGUAAUUCUAACGGAAUGCUUUCCAUUGCAUCCAUUUGAAUUGUGGAAGCAAUUCUCAGCACAUAUAUGUGAUGAUUUGGCACACAGGAUUCGUACUAAGUUUGGGAUUUUGAAUCCAACUGAUGAUCAUAUUGAAGAUUAUGGCUUAUAUUUGAUAAAUCAAUUGCUCCAUGAGUCGGGAAAGAGUUUAGUUGACUUUCCACCCAUGCCACAACCAACUGAAAAUUGGAAUGCAAUAGUUGGAAAUAGAUUACUGUUUGAGCACCAACAACUUGAGAAUGAAGCACAACAGUCUGAUGCACAAAUUAAUGUUGACAGACUUAAUGAUGCACAACUUGCUGCUUAUACUGCUGUCACAACGUCAGUAUGUGAAAACAAAGCAACUACUUUCUUUUUGAGUGGAGGUGCUGGGACGGGAAAAACAUUUUUGUACAAUACCAUUGCAACCAAAUUGCGUAGCUAUGGACAUGUUGUUGUUACUGUGGCUUCAUCUGGUAUUGCAUCUUUGUUAUUGGUAGGGGGCGCACUGCACAUUCUACAUUUUGUAUUCCUUUGGAAACCCUAGAUAAUUCAAUAUGUGGGUUCACUAAACAAUCAAUGCAUGCCGAGUUGUUUAGAAAAACAAAGCUGAUAAUAUGGGAUGAAGUUCCUAUGCAACACCGAUACUGUGUUGAGGCAGUCAAUCGCACCCUUCAAGAUAUCAGAGACGAUAAAAGACCUUUUGGGGGUAUCACUGUUGUCCUAGGUGGAGACUUUCGACAAAUAUUGCCUGUUAUUCCUAAAGGCGUUCGCGAGCAAAUUGUGGGUGCAUCAUUGAGACGGUCUUCGUUAUGGAAAGAUAUAUGUGUUUUGACUCUGGGUUUAAACAUGCGAUUAACUCACACAGACGUUCGAAAUAUUAAUUUUGCUCAAUUCUUGAUGGAGGUAAUUUUUCAUUCAACCUUGAAUUAAAUUUUUAUAACAUGAUACUUUGAAUUAAAUCUCAUUUUGUGAAUAAUUAUAUUUUUAUUUUCUAGAUUGGGACCAAUCCACAAGAAAUUGUGCAACUUCCAUCUACAAUAAACCGAUGUCAUAAUCUAAAUGAAUUGAUAUUUAGAAUCUAUCCACAAUUGGAUGUGGUUGGUAUAAUGACUCAAACCUUUCUCACUGAACGGACAAUUCUAUCUGCUCGCAAUGACGACGUCAGUGAUAUAAAUGUUGCAGCACUGAAUAUUACUCCGGGAGAAACAAUUACUUUUUUAGCUGCAGAUAAAAUGUGUGAAGGUGAUGAGCUCGAUCAUACCAUUAGGAAUCGAUAUCCUAACGAGUACUUAAACUCGCUGAAUCCUUCAGGGUUGCCACCGUUUAAAUUGGAGUUAAAAGUUGGAUGCCCAAUAAUGUUGUUACGAAAUAUUGCACCGAAAGAUGGACUUUGUAAUGGCACGCGAUUGAUGGUUGUUAGAUGUGCCUCAAGGGUAAUCGAAAUUCGGAUAUUAAAUGGAGAUAAAAUUGGCAAUUUAUUCUUCAUUCCAAGAAUAUCAUUGACACCAACAUCUUUGGACUUGCCUUUUCGAAUGACAAGACGUCAGUUUCCUAUCCGAUUAACUUAUGCUAUGACAAUCAAUAAAGCCCAAGGACAAUCUGUCAAGUUCGUUGGGAUUGAUUUGCGAACACCUGUUUUUAGUCAUGGACACCUUUAUGUGGCACUAUCUAGAUGCACAUCUGCGGAUCGUAUUACUGUCCUCCUUCCGGAAGAUGGGUCGAAUUGCACCACAAAUAUUGUUUACCCAGAAGUUUUAUUAUGAUAUUCUUACGACAAGUAAAUGGUAUAGUUUAAACAAGUUUAUUUCUACUAAAUUAUGUAAUCUUUUCAACAUUUCAACUUUUAAUUUUACAAUGAGGUUCAUUCUUUGUAGGAUUGGAGUGAAUUUGUCAACGAGAACAAUAAAAUAUAUACAAUGGACCUUUGUGGAUGGGGCCGACGUAAUCAGGUAAAUCUACUUUUAUGUCACUGCAUCAAAAUAACUUUACUAUUCCUAUAAUAUAAAUAGUGUUACUUUUAUUGUUUAUGUAAAUAAUAUAGGUGGUUGUGCAUUCUCCUCAUUGGGCAAAGUACGUUCGUAUUGAUACGAGGACAUUAAGGAUAUUGAUGAAGAGGAGAUUUAAAGGGAUGAAAAAGACAUUUAAGAGAGUUAAAUGAUAUGCAAUCCAAUACUGACAUGUCCACCUUUGACGAUUACUAACCUACCACUGACCAAACAAUUGUCUAGGUGUGAAAGUCUCUCUUACUAAGACUAUAUUUCUCUACUUCUCAUGCAGACACACAACACACAUAAUACAUGCACAAACACACACACAUAGCUGUAACCAAUCAAACACUCUCAAAUCAAACUCACACACCAUUAUACUGCCACCGAUACAAAUUUAUGAUUUAAAUCAUUAAGCAAAUGAACUGUUCGUUGAGAUAGUACUAAGAAAACUUUAUUUGAUUGUAAGUCCAUAUUUUUCCUUAAAAAAUUGAUUAUUUGUUACAAUCUCUCUAAAUUCUUACUGCAGUCAAUCUAAAUCAUUCCCCCUACAUACAAAUAUGUGUGCUCAUUUGUUUCGAAUUUAUAAUUAUUUUAUUUUAACUCACAUAUUACGAUAAUUUUUAAAUUUCAAUUAUUUUCAGGUAUAUAUUGAAGGAUACAUGAUGUAAGCUGUAAAGAAUAUACUUGGUGUAAGCUGUAAAGUAAAGGGUCUUAGUUUCUCUAUUUUCUGCAUGUAUGUAUUUUUUGUAUUCUGCCUUUUGUAAGUUAGCUAAUUAUACUUGGUUAUGAUGAUUUUGGGUAUAGAAUGAAGGUUUUUUUGGUGGUUUGGAUAUGUAUG